rnacentral:rRNA from 1 species
AUUGAACGCUGGCGGCAUGCCUUACACAUGCAAGUCGAACGGCAGCACGGGAGCAAUCCUGGUGGCGAGUGGCGAACGGGUGAGUAAAGUAUCGGAACGUGCCCAGUCGUGGGGGAUAACGUAGCGAAAGUUACGCUAAUACCGCAUACGAUCUAUGGAUGAAAGCGGGGGAUCGCAAGACCUCGCGCGAUUGGAGCGGCCGAUAUCAGAUUAGGUAGUUGGUGGGGUAAAGGCUCACCAAGCCGACGAUCUGUAGCUGGUCUGAGAGGACGACCAGACACACUGGGACUGAGACACGGCCCAGAAUCCUACGGGAGGCAGCAGUGGGGAAUUUUGGACAAUGGGCGAAAGCCUGAUCCAGCCAUGCCGCGUGCAGGAUGAAGGCCUUCGGGUUGUAAACUGCUUUUGUACGGAACGAAAAGGUUUGGCCUAAUAAGCUGAGCUCAUGACGGUACCGUAAGAAUAAGCACCGGCUAACUACGUGCCAGCAGCCGCCGUAA